rnacentral:rRNA from 1 species
CCUAACACAUGCAAGUCGAACGAGCGAGAGAGAGUUUACUUUUUCGAGCGAGUGGCGAACGGGUGAGUAACGCGUGAGGAACCUGCCUCAAAGAGGGGGACAACAGUUGGAAACGACUGCUAAUACCGCAUAAGCCCACGACCCGGCAUCGGGUAGAGGGAAAAGGAGCAAUCCGCUUUGAGAUGGCCUCGCGUCCGAUUAGCUAGUUGGUGAGGUAAUGGCCCACCAAGGCGACGAUCGGUAGCCGGACUGAGAGGUUGAACGGCCACAUUGGGACUGAGACACGGCCCAGACUCCUACGGGAGGCAGCAGUGGGGAAUAUUGCACAAUGGGGGAAACCCUGAUGCAGCGACGCCGCGUGGAGGAAGAAGGUCUUCGGAUUGUAAACUCCUGUUGUUGAGGAAGAUAAUGACGGUACUCAACAAGGAAGUGACGGCUAACUACGUGCCAGCAGCCGCGGUAAAACGUAGGUCACAAGCGUUGUCCGGAAUUACUGGGUGUAAAGGGAGCGCAGGCGGGAAGACAAGUUGGAAGUGAAAUCCAUGGGCUCAACCCAUGAACUGCUUUCAAAACUGUUUUUCUUGAGUAGUGCAGAGGUAGGCGGAAUUCCCGGUGUAGCGGUGGAAUGCGUAGAUAUCGGGAGGAACACCAGUGGCGAAGGCGGCCUACUGGGCACCAACUGACGCUGAG